UACGUAGGGUGCAAGCGUUGUCCGGAAUUAUUGGGCGUAAAGAGCUCGUAGGCGGUUUGUCGCGUCUGCUGUGAAAACCCGCGGCUCAACUGUGGGCCUGCAGUCGAUACGGGCAGGCUAGAGUUCGGUAGGGGAGACUGGAAUUCCAGGUGUGAGCGGUGGAAAUGACGUAGAUAUCUGGAGGAAUACCGGUGGCGAAGGCGGCAUCCUGGACCGACAUUGACGCUGAUGAGCGAAAGCUAGGGGAGCAAACGGGG
rnacentral:rRNA from 1 species